CUGAAUACUUGAAGAAGAGUGAU
rnacentral:snRNA from 1 species